GGGGGAUGUAAUUAUUGACUACGUCAAAUAAAGUUCUAGAUAGAUGAUUGAUAAUGACAGUUUUCUAUCUAUAUGUCUUGACCAAAUCUUGUGCCAGCAGUCGCGGCAAUACAAGGAAGACUAGUGUUAUUCAUCUUUAUUAGGUUUAAAGGGUACCUAGACAGUAUUUCCAGCCCCUCAAGGGUACAGACUUACUAGAGUUUUAUGUGAGAGGAAAAUAUUAGAACCAUUGGAGUAGAGAUAGAAUUUUUUGAUACUAAUGGGACGGAUAACGGCGAAGGCAAGCCUCUAUAUAAUAACUGACGUUGAGGGACGAAGGCUUGGGGAGCGAAUAGGAUUAGAUACCCUAGUAGUCCAAGCAGAGAAUUAUGAAUGUUAUAGACUAAAUUAUUUGGUGUAUAAAUGAAAGUGUAAGCAUUCCACCUCAAGAGUAAUGCGGCAACGCAGGAACUGAAAUCAUUAGACCGUUUCUGAAACCAGUAGUGAAGUAUGUUAUUUAAUUCGAUGACCCUCGAAAAACCUUACCACAAUUUGAAUGGUAUCUAUUUUAGCUUUAACGUAAGUGUGCUUAAAAUGGAUAUUACAAGUGUUGCACGGCUGUCUUCAGUUAAUGUCGUGAGACUUUGGUUAGAUCCAUUAAAUUAACGUAAACCCUUGCUUUAUUUUAUACAUAAAGCAGUUCACCAAUUUAUUGGAUAUGAUAACAGGGAUUAAGACAAGGUCAUCAUGACCUUAAUAUUGUGGGGCUAUAGAC
rnacentral:rRNA from 1 species